rnacentral:rRNA from 1 species
UAGCUACAGGCUUAACACAUGCAAGUCGAGGGGCAGCAUGGUCUUAGCUUGCUAAGGCCGAUGGCGACCGGCGCACGGGUGAGUAACACGUAUCCAACCUGCCGUCUACUCUUGGACAGCCUUCUGAAAGGAAGAUUAAUACAAGAUGGCAUCAUGAGUCCGCAUGUUCACAUGAUUAAAGGUAUUCCGGUAGACGAUGGGGAUGCGUUCCAUUAGAUAGUAGGCGGGGUAACGGCCCACCUAGUCUUCGAUGGAUAGGGGUUCUGAGAGGAAGGUCCCCCACAUUGGAACUGAGACACGGUCCAAACUCCUACGGGAGGCAGCAGUGAGGAAUAUUGGUCAAUGGGCGAGAGCCUGAACCAGCCAAGUAGCGUGAAGGAUGACUGCCCUAUGGGUUGUAAACUUCUUUUAUAAAGGAAUAAAGUCGGGUAUGGAUACCCGUUUGCAUGUACUUUAUGAAUAAGGAUCGGCUAACUCCGUGCCAGCAGCCGCGGUAAUACGGAGGAUCCGAGCGUUAUCCGGAUUUAUUGGGUUUAAAGGGAGCGUAGAUGGAUGUUUAAGUCAGUUGUGAAGGUUUGCGGCUCAACCGUAAAAUUGCAGUUGAUACUGGAUAUCUUGAGUGCAGUUGAGGCAGGCGGAAUUCGUGGUGUAGCGGUGAAAUGCUUAGAUAUCACGAAGAACUCCGAUUGCGAAGGCAGCCUGCUAAGCUGCAACUGACAUUGAGGCUCGAAAGUGUGGGUAUCAAACAGGAUUAGAUACCCUGGUAGUCCACACGGUAAACGAUGAAUACUCGCUGUUUGCGAUAUACAGCAAGCGGCCAAGCGAAAGCGUUAAGUAUUCCACCUGGGGAGUACGCCGGCAACGGUGAAACUCAAAGGAAUUGACGGGGGCCCGCACAAGCGGAGGAACAUGUGGUUUAAUUCGAUGAUACGCGAGGAACCUUACCCGGGCUUAAAUUGCAGAUGAAUUACGGUGAAAGCCGUAAGCCGCAAGGCAUCUGUGAAGGUGCUGCAUGGUUGUCGUCAGCUCGUGCCGUGAGGUGUCGGCUUAAGUGCCAUAACGAGCGCAACCCUUGUUGUCAGUUACUAACAGGUUCCGCUGAGGACUCUGACAAGACUGCCAUCGUAAGAUGUGAGGAAGGUGGGGAUGACGUCAAAUCAGCACGGCCCUUACGUCCGGGGCUACACACGUGUUACAAUGGGGGGUACAGAGGGCCGCUACCACGCGAGUGGAUGCCAAUCCCCAAAACCUCUCUCAGUUCGGACUGGAGUCUGCAACCCGACUCCACGAAGCUGGAUUCGCUAGUAAUCGCGCAUCAGCCACGGCGCGGUGAAUACGUUCCCGGGCCUUGUACACACCGCCCGUCAAGCCAUGGGAGCCGGGGGUACCUGAAGUGCGUAACCGCGAGGAGCGCCCUAGGGUAAAACUGGUGACUG